AUGGUCUCAUUCAGCUUUGCGAUAGCUCAGCUUGUUUCACCCUUAAUAUUUUUUAAAAAUAUUUCUUUUUUUAUCCAUGUUUGCAUUUGGGAGGAUAUAUUUUUUAUCAUCACGACCAUCCUUACUAUCAUUUUUAAGUGGCCACAUAGAUAUAUAACUGGCCUGCCUCAUAAACAACAGUGUCUUCUUUUAUUGAUGUUGCAGGAUGGGCUUCUCAUUUUCUCUGCUGACUUCGUAGAGUUGUUUGAGCAAACAGUAAAUUCAGUUAGUGUGGAUAGACAGCACCACAAACUCAGUGGUCAGCUUUUCCUCAAGAUGAUGCUUUCUCACUUGGUGACUCAAGAGUCCAGUUACAAUCACACCCACCUCCUUCCACAGAUUAUUUGAGAACAUCUUUGAAAGCUAAGAAGCAUGAUAACCCCACAGCUAACACCGAAGAUGCUAACAUUCUCUGCAUGCCCACCUAGCAAAGAUGUUCCACAAAAUCUUUACUUCCUCAGGUGUUACUGCACGUUAACUGAGCUCUUACUACAUGCUAGGUGCUGUUCUACCCUCUGUUAGUAAAGACAUUCUAAAACAUUCAUUUAAGAUAAAGAUAUAAGGCAGAAAAUGAGCGAACUUGUCUUCAGCUCUUGGGAAACAAAAUCCAAUUCGACACUCACUUUUCUUAUUGCUUUGAAUGAAUAGACAAAUUUUUAAGCAUUUUGUAUGGUUUUGACAAAUAAUCAUGAGUAUUUUCAAAGCAUUUCGGAAGAAAGUGGUGUUUGUGCUCUGUUCAGUGGAAUUAACAGAUGGUAGCCUAGACUGCAUAGCAGCUAUUCUGGUCAUUACUUAUUCUGGCACAGGGCAUGGAAACGUUUUGUUUUGUUAAAGCUAGUUAAUCUGUACUGAUACGCACGGAAGUGAAUACAUAAAAAUCAUAUUUUAAAAUGCACUUUAAUUCUGGAAAAAAUAUCUCUUGCUUUCUGCUGUUAAACACAUGUUCUUUACGUAUAAAUAGUACAAAAGUUACAAUACAUGAAUUCUGUUCCAUGAAAUUUUCUUAAUUACCUACACUGAGAUUUGAAAUUCAAAACAAAACAAAACAAAACAAAACACCCCUUUGUUGUGACAUAUAAAUCGAACUCCAUAGGUUUGCCACCCAGACCCUCUGCAACCUCAAAACCUCAAAACCUGCUUUCUGAAAUCCCCCACCCACCCCACCUUUGGAGAAAAAAAAAAAAGUUUUGGCGUUUACUUCAGACCCAGACAAGAUAAAGUGGGCCUUCAGUUUUGCAAGAGCAGACAAUUGUAGGUUUCCAAUUUAGAUAAGGUUUUGAAGAGAAUGAUUUAAAAAUGGGUAUUUAGUGAGAAAAUCUUAAUGAAUGCUCACUCUUCUUUCUGACCUUGGCUACCGCCCCUGCCCAGCUGGAGAUUCUCGUUUUAAUGAGGCAAUAUUGUAUUUCUGAGCAGCAGGCCCUGCUUUGAAACAGUUCUCUUCUCUUCGGAAAGCUCAAAGCUGCUUUCAUGCAAGUACUAUUGAUUAAGAAAUUAUUCCUUUAAAUGAAGGGAAAUAAAAGUUCCAUCAGGGGCUUACCA
ensembl:lncRNA